rnacentral:rRNA from 2 species
GUAGGGUGCAAGCGUUAAUCGGAAUUACUGGGCGUAAAGCGUGCGCAGGCGGUUAUAUAAGACAGAUGUGAAAUCCCCGGGCUCAACCUGGGAACUGCAUUUGUGACUGUAUAGCUAGAGUACGGUAGAGGGGGAUGGAAUUCCGCGUGUAGCAGUGAAAUGCGUAGAUAUGCGGAGGAACACCGAUGGCGAAGGCAAUCCCCUGGACCUGUACUGACGCUCAUGCACGAAAGCGUGGGGAGCAAACAGGAUUAGAUACCCUGGUAGUCCACGCCCUAAACGAUGUCAACUGGUUGUUGGGUCUUCACUGACUCAGUAACGAAGCUAACGCGUGAAGUUGACCGCCUGGGGAGUACGGCCGCAAGGUUG